AACAGUGGCGGACGGGUGAGUAACACGUAGGUGACCUGCCCCAAAGAGGGGAAUAACCAUUCGAAAGGAUGGCUAAUACCCCGUAAGGUCGGCCAUUCAUUUGGUCGAUUAAAGCUUCUCGUAAGAGAGGCGCUUUGGGAGGGGCUUGCGGCCCAUCAGCUAGUUGGUAGGGUAAUGGCCUACCAAGGCAAAGACGGGUAGCUGGUCUGAGAGGACGAUCAGCCACAAUGGCACUGAAACACGGGCCAU
rnacentral:rRNA from 1 species